ensembl:lncRNA RNA binding protein fox-1 homolog 3-like
GUUAUCGUAUCGAGAAGGGAAAUGCAGUAGGCUUCGGUGGUGACGGUCAGCAAGCAAACCCUCUCCGGCGACAGCGGAAGAAAAACAAGAAGAAGAAGAAGAAAGUGAAGCCCCCGACCGUCCACUGGCUGAGUGACGGACGGCGUGACGAGGACGUGCAGGACGGCCCCUCACUCCUCUCUACAGCAGGAACCGACGGCGGCUGCAGCGGCGACUGAGACUCUCAGCACAGCUGAAUGUACAUGGAGACCCCCAGCUGGGCAGACACAAAACCAGGAAACGGGCUGUGCAAAUCUGGGACCAUUGCUCUUUUCGGAAACGUCGUGUACAGCGGGUUGCUGAACGACCAUUUUUGGCAUCUCGGGGUGCCCCUCGUCACAAGACUGGGUAACCAGGAGGCCCCAGCUCCCCCAGAAGCCAUGGCACAGCCCUACGCCCCGGCGCAGUACCCGCCUCCGCCCCCGCAGAACGGCAUCCCCGGCGAGUACGCCCACCCGGCACAGGACUACAGCGGGCCCAGCACGGUGCCCGAGCACGCCGCCCUCACCAUCUACACGGCCACACAGACGCACAGCGAGCCCCCGGGCCCCGACAGCAGCGGGCCCUCGCUCACGGGCACCAGCACCGUACCGGCAGACGAGGUGGUGCAGACGGAGGGCAGCCAGCAGCUACAGCUACAGCCCUCAGACUCUUCAGAGAAGCAGCAGCCCAAGCGGUUACACGUCUCCAACAUUCCCUUCCGCUUCCGGGACCCCGACCUGCGGCAAAUGUUUGGGCAAUUUGGCAAAAUUUUAGAUGUGGAAAUUAUUUUUAACGAGCGGGGCUCAAAGGGCUUCGGUUUCGUAACCUUUGAAACAAGCGCGGACGCGGACCGCGCACGGGAGAAACUGAACGGCACCAUCGUAGAGGGACGAAAAAUCGAGGUGAACAAUGCAACGGCGCGAGUAAUGACGAACAAAAAAGUGGCCAACCCUUACACAAACGGCUGGAAGCUGAAUCCGGUGGUGGGAGCCGUCUACGGUCCGGAAUUCUAUGCAGUGACAGGAUUCCCCUACCCGACCACAGGGGCUGCCGUGGCGUACAGGGGAGCUCACUUGAGAGGGCGGGGCCGGGCCGUGUACAACACGUUCCGUGCGGCUCCGCCUCCCCCUCCCAUCCCGGCCUAUGGAGCUGUGGUGUACCAGGACGGCUUCUACGGCGCAGAAAUUUACGGAGGCUAUGCAGCAUACAGAUAUGCCCAGCCGGCUGCGGCGGCCGCAGCAGCCUACAGUGACAGUUACGGCCGAGUCUAUGCAACAGCAGACCCCUACCACCACACGAUCGGGCCGGCUGCCACCUACAGCGUGGGCACCAUGUAAAUGAGAAAAAGAGUGGAUGGCUGUGUAAAGAGAUGGACAACAGCGCAAAAGAUGGUGACGAAGAAGGAGAGUGAGCAGCUUAAAAAAAAACAACACCACAUUCAAAGAUUUCAAAAAAGAAAAAUAUAUAAACAUGGCAGAAUUUCAAAGGUAUCUUUCCAUUGCGGCUGUCGGGCAUGAUGUUGCCAUGGCGACGGGUCAACCCACGCAGCCACCCCAAGAGUAUGGAAGGACGGCAACUUUCACCUGGGACAGCCUCAUGAUGAUGGAAGAGAGGAGGAGGAAGAGGAGGGAGGAAAUCACACACUCACAAAAAAAAAAACUUUUUAUUUUUCUAAACUUUUUUAAGUUUAUGGUUUGAAAAAGAGUUUGGAUGGGUGUAUAUAUCUAUAUAAAUAUCAAUAUAUGUAUGUAUGAGUAUAUUAUAAGAAAAGUUGUUGGUAAAAUGAAAAAAAAAAUGGCGAGAAGAUGAUAUGAAUGCAUCAGAGCACUGCUGUCGUUUCAGGGAACCGGGGGUGUUGAUUUCACCUUUCAACCCUCCGUUCCCCCAAAUACUCCACCCUCCUUGUUUUUCCCGUUGACCCCAACAGGAUGAACAAGGAGUCCACCAGAACCAAGCUGUUGUCCUAGCAGACAUGAUUCUCACAUCCCGCUUCCGCUUCUUCUUCUUCCAAAUGUCCAAGGCCUAUUUGGGCCCAGCGUCUUCCACUUCCUGUUGAACAGAACUACUUCCUGUGUUAGAGAGCUGAGGGCCUUAAUGUCAUUGAUGUCAAGCUCAGUUAUGUACUUGGAAGACGAGAGUAUCCCAACAAAACGGUUAAAUAACACUUCCCGUGUAGUGUAAUUCAGUGCAAGGCGGACUGCACGUUAGAACAGGAAAAGGGGGUCCGACAGGUUAAGAUCCAGGAUCCACGUACCACCGAAGACUAGACCAUACGAGAGCGUAAGGUACUUUCUUCAGGUUACUCACCGAAUCCCUGACACUCGCUCUGUCGCUUAGCACAGGCAGUCGAACCACAGUUGGACACGAGGUUCCUUCGAGCCCCAUGGGCCCUCGCGGUUCCUGCAGCACAAUGACUCAACGACCCUCAACGAACGGGGGGAGGGGUGGGCAAUGGGAAAGGAAAUCCAGGCUUUUGAGGAGUGAGGGGAAAGGGCUCCAAAGAGUCGCGUCUCGAAAUCAACGAAAAACAAAAAAAAUCAUAAUAAUUUUUAAAAAUUGAAAAAAAAAAAAAAAUUUACAGUGCUACCAAAACCCAUUCCAUUUCGGUGUUGUUGUAGAGGUGGCUGUGUUGUGUAGUAAAAAAAAAAACACUUUUGUACAUGGUGCCAAGGGGCUACAAACGAAGACAAUUGCAGCUGUCGGGAUUGUCGCAGGACUUGCGCCGUCCAUCUCGAGAAAAAAAAAAAAAAAAAAAAAAAGGGCACCGAUUUUAUUAGCGUGUGUCGCCUUUCUACGUCUUAACAAACUCCACUUUAGUGACAUCCUUAUAUAUUUAAAUGUUGUACUGGUCACAUGCCGCAGUGCAUGGUAAAUGAGUCGAUUGUAGCCAUUUACUAACGUUGUAUUAUUGUAUUACUAGUAUGAGAAACAUUUAUAUAUGAAAUAUCUAUUUGUGAUUUGCGACCCUUCGAAAUUCCAGGCGAUAUUUUUUUCGUCAUUUUCAGCCGAGAUUUACGCACUGUCCGUACAUGGAAAGUUUUUUUUGUUUUUUUUUGUUCCUGUCUCCUUGGUUCACCUCUUGAAUGUAUUGCUGCUCUAAAACUGUAAGAAAAAAAUGUCCUGGUCUUUAAAGCAGUGCUUUGUGUAUGUGUGUACUGUACCUUUUUUUUUUUACCAUAUUUGUAUAAUUUGCCCCGCCCCAGUGGAGCAAAAGACCAAACGUAUGAAGAAUCCAGGUUGUCCGCUCAUCCAUAGUCUUCAACCAUGGGAAGCUGCCCAAGAACAGAAGACAGAGUUACGAAGAAUCACUUUUGGAUCAAUCGGCUUUCAUUUGAGGGAGAAGACGCGACGACGGGAAGGGAGUCCCGUUCCUUUUUCAAAUCUUUAUUUUGUCUCUCUGAUCAUGGGGGAGCCGACGACUGAGAUGCCACUGAACUGCCUCGAGCCGGUCGAGCUCGUACCAUCGGGAUUGUUUCAGCGAGUGCACAGCAUCGGCCCACCACUGCAGAUAACGUCCCCAAGAUGUCACGCUACGAAGAAAAAAAACAAAAAAAACACUUAAAUCGAGAGCUUCCGUGGGUUCAGGUGACGAACGCCCCUGCAGCCACCUCUCCUUAGGUCAGAGACGUAACUACUUCGUGCUGCUUUGUUCCUUUCCUCAGAACUCGGUUUUCUUUUCUAGAAAAAUGGCGACUUAGCGACUGUACACCUUUGAUACCGGACGGCGUCCGCUCCCAAGACCGCCACCGCCGGACUACGUGUUUUUCAGCCCCGUCGCGUGCCAGCGGUGGUGGCCGGGAGUGCUCCUGGUGACUCUCAGACAUUUCAGGGACUCUGCACUGAAAGAGACUGUGGACUAACCAACAAACUAACAAAAAGAUGUCAAAUCACAGAGAUCCACGAUCCUCUGUCAGGUUCCGUUUGAUUACUUUACGUACUCGUUCAUUUCUUGGUCAUUGUCAUACGAAAGUGUCCUCUUUGGUGUGUUUUGAUCUUACACGUUCCUCUAUGUUUUAGUCCAGAGUCCCGGUUUCCCCUUUGCAAUGAGGCUAAAUCCAAUAACGCCUCAUAGCACCCCCCUCGACGCAAGCCUUGCUAAUCCCUGGUCACUAAUCCUAAACCCGCGCGAACCUUCACUUAUCCGGUUUCACCCGAGCUCCGCCCGCCCUUCAGCCCCACCCGAGGCUUCUCCGCCACCUCCCCAAAGCACAAAGGUUGAAACGGCGCCUGAGCGGGCGGCCUUCGCCGAGGGCCGAUGUCCCCCCCCCCACCUCAGCGCGCGAGACUUGUCCCGCCGCUCCUGCCCCGCCCAGCCUUUUCUAUAUUAAAUGUACAGUAUCUUCUUUCUCCGUCGGCUCAGUACAAAACCUAUACGACAUUCAGACGAAACUUCUUCAUGUGCUACACUGACUCUGUGUAACGAAAGAGAGAGAAAAAAAAAAGACAAUUUGUUUAAUUUCAGCAAUUUGUUUAUCUAUAUAUUUUUUUGCAAUUGUUUCAAAUACAUAUAGGUUAAAAUAUAUCUAUAUAUAAAGAUAUUAAAAAUGAAAAAAAGCUAACAUUUCUGCUCUUUGGGAUCUGUACUCUUAACUUUGCAUUUCUUUUUAUCCUCUCCCUUUCUGUAUGCUUCCAAUGUGCUUCAGAGAAACAAUACUAUUUAUUAUGAUUAUUAUAUCAUUAAAUUAUUAUUACUAUGAUUAUUAUUGCCGUCAUAAUUAAUAUGAUUAUUAAUAAACAUUUCAUUCUUCAAUAAUAAAACGG